CAAAAAUAAGGGAAGUCUGAAAACCUGUCACAGCAGAGGAAUGAUGGAACUGAGUGUAGCAAAGACACUCAGGUUUCUGAAGCUCCAGGAAUUCACUUAUAAAGAGACAGAAAGUUGAUAAUGGAUCCAACAGUGGAUUAGAAGCCCAAGGAGUCACAGACAGGAUGAAUCCUCAUUCAUUCUUAAACUCUCUUCUAAAGGACAUCUGGGGUUCCACUUACAUGUAUGUUAGACCAUUUGACACCUCCUCAUGGAGCUUGGAGGCUUUAUUCAUUUUCCCACAUUUUUGUUUGUUUGUUUGUUGUUUUUUUCUUUGUCUUUUUUUUAACCUCUACAUAUCUUCUGUCUGAUUGUUAGGGUUGAUGGUUGAGUCACUCUAAUCUGUAAUUGAUCUGAGUCUGAAUUUUCUUGCAAUUCUACUUAGAUUCAGUUCAUCACUAACUUCAAAUAUUUUGAGAAUAAGAUCAAGCAUGAUAAAAGAAAAAACCUUGUUAACCUUUAACUCUAUAUGUAUCAUAAUUCUUCUUUAAAAUUUGAAGACAAUAUAAAAAUAUUUAGAUAGACAAAUAUACAGGAAUUUGUAUCAGGCUGAAGGUAAAUAUUAAAACAUUGACUCUUUGGAGGACAAGACAUACAGAUAGAAAAAACAAAUAUAUGGGUAAUAAAAAAAUCUGUUGACUACUUCAAGCAAAAUAAUGAAAAUGUAUUACACUGUUCAUAGCAGAUGUCAAAGUAAAAUAUAUGACAAGGGCACAAAGAUUGUGUUGAGUAAACUGAAUUCAACUGGUA
rnacentral:lncRNA from 1 species